GUAGGGUGCUAGCGUUGUUCGGACUCACUGGGCGUAAAGCGCGUGUAGGCGGCCCCUUAAGUCGGAUGUGAAACCCCGGGGCUCACCCCCUGAAGUGCAUUGGAAACUGGCGGACUAGAGUCCCGGAGAGGAGGGUGGAAUUCCUGGUGUAGCGGUGCAAUGCGUAGACAUCAGGAGGCACUCCCCUGGGGAAGUCGUCCCUAUGGACGGUCACUGCCGCUGAGCCGCGAAACUGUGGGGAGCAUACACGAUUAGAUACCCUGGCAGUCCACGCCGUAAACGAUGGGCUGUAGGUGUCGCGGGUAUUGCCCCCUGCCGUGCCCACGCUCACGCCCUAAGCGCUCCGCGAGGGGAGUACGCCCUCAAGGCUU
rnacentral:rRNA from 1 species